AGUGAACGCUGGCGGUAGGCCUAACACAUGCAAGUCGAACGGCAGCACAGGAGAGCUUGCUCUCUGGGUGGCAAGUGGCGGACGGGUGAGGAAUACAUCGGAAUCUACUCUGUCGUGGGGGAUAACGUAGGGAAACUUACGCUAAUACCGCAUACGACCUACGGGUGAAAGCAGGGGACCUUCGGGCCUUGCGCGAUUGAAUGAGCCGAUGUCGGAUUAGCUAGUUGGCGGGGUAAAGGCCCACCAAGGCGACGAUCCGUAGCUGGUCUGAGAGGAUGAUCAGCCACACUGGAACUGAGGCAGGGUCCAGACUCCUACGGGAGGCAGCAGUGGGGAAUAUUGGACAAUGGGCGCAAGCCUGAUCCAGCCAUACCGCGUGGGUGAAGAAGGCCUUCGGGUUGUAAAGCCCUUUUGUUGGGAAAGAAAUCCAGCUGGCUAAUACCCGGUUGGGAUGACGGUACCCAAAGAAUAAGCACCGGCUAACUUCGUGCCAGCAGCCGCGGUAA
rnacentral:rRNA from 1 species